GUGCCUGGGGACCGCUGGAGUGCUUCACGUCAAACCAGUCGCCCUCAUCUUUGUCGAGUUCCAGGGAUCGCGAAUGUUCAUCUCCUGCUCUGCCUCGAUGGACCGACCGAUGGGGGAGUUUUCAAUUGGGUCCUUGAUCAACCAAAUUUCCUAAUUAACUCUCCAUCUAUCCUAAAAUUUGAAACACCUUAUGAUCAAUUAUGGUUUCAUCUUCAAUCAUAUGAAUUAGUAUCAAUGCUAUAUAAAGCUCGUAAUCAAUGGUUUCAUCUUAUGAUCAAUUAUGGGCUCACCGAACAUCAGAGACCUCUUGACGGCGUUCGGCCCCUCGUCGGAGUUCUUCGCCAUCAGCUCCGGCGAUGGCCGGAUUGCCGGAUUAAGAUUUGGGACACUUUGAAAGGGCAGAUUCAGCCGGACAGGGGUCACCUUUCGGUUGAUUACACCUGCAUGAAGUGUUCGGAUUUGUGGAAAAAAAGAGGAAAAGAAAGCAUGGGGGCUCGUUGGUAGUUUUAGGAGCAGGCAGGGGUGAUGUCCUAGCACUCGAUGAGCAAGUGACUGUCACCCUGAGGGCGUCGCUGCCAUCUCAUUUUCUGAAAAAGGGUCCCAUGCUUGCACUGGUGCUGCUGAUGGGAUGAUUUGUGAAAUUGAUUCCAUGACAGGAAACUCUUUAAAAAGGUUUAGAACUUCAACAAAGACUACAUCUGCCAUUGCCGUUUUAUCUGGGAGCUGUUCGCUCUAUGAUCUUCACUAAUGAUGGGAAGUAUGUUCUUCCCUGUGCUGGUGGUGAAAGAUAUAUUGUUGUUUGGUAAGUUGAUAGUAGCAAAACGCACUCAGGAAGCUGUAAACUGUCAUAGAGCAUCCUGCAGCCUAUCUUGACAGCAGAUGCAUUGAUAACGGAGAAGAUCUCAAAGGCCUGUAUGUUUUGGCUCUUACAGAGACCGGAGUUUGUUAUUUCUGGUGUGGACAGAACAUUGAGGAACUACGCAAUUCGAUUCCUGCAAAAGUCUCUUUUAUCUAUUGAGGAAUUGAAGAAUCAUCAUGGUGCACCUACAAUAGUUGCUGCAAAAUUACUAGGCAUUCCAAGUCGUGCAUCUGGGCACAUUUUUAUUUCCCAUGGUCUGCUGGUAAAGCCACUCUUUCAGAAAUUUUUAGUGCAUUCUGGGGAAAACAUGGAUUUAAACAGCUCUUGAGAUGGGAUUUUUUUGCCCACUGGUCAAUCCCUGGUUAGGGAUUAGAGAGGACAAGAUGUAAGGAAUAAAGGUAAGUCAUGGACCUUGUUCAGAAAUAGAUCGGUAA